GGGACCUGUACACGUUGCGGAGCAACAAUGGUUAAAGA
rfam:Facklamia languida CCTG 37842 genomic scaffold supercont1.1, whole genome shotgun sequence.